AAAGUAUUUUUCCGGCGACGAGCCAUGGGCGGGAAGGCCGAGGCCUAAAAUGCAACAUUCCCGCGUCUCCCCUCCCAAAUUCCAAACCCGCCGAUCCCCUCCUCCCAUCUCGCCGGCGGCUAGUCGGCUAGUCCUCCACCACCGCCUCCUCUAGACUCAGGAACCAGAGGCGCGAUAUCUCCUCGGGCCUGUUUCUCGUCCCUCCUCCCUCCCCGGUGAAUCCCCCUCCCUCUCGUCUCGUUGCUCUUCAAUCUUCUUGUGUGGAUAAUUGUUGCUAUUCGUGACGCGAUUCCUUAAUUAUUACUUCUGCUUCUACUCAAUUGCUCCUUCGGUUGGAGGGAACCGGUAGUUUUGCUGGAUGUUCGUUGUGCUGGAAAAUUAGUUGAAGAGGAUUCCGUGCUUGUGGUGUGAUUUGCCAUCGCUGGAGUUCGAUCGGUUUAGGAUCUGCUCAGUUGUCGUGAACUCCACUAUGCUGGGCUGAUUCGUGGUACGAAUUUCGCUGGCUUCAGUUUUCUUGUUACUGCAGAAAUUUUGCAAUGUGUACUGCAUCCUUCUAGGAUGUGGAACAAUUUAGUGUUUUCACUAAUCUUUGCCUGUUUAAUGAUUAUAAAAUGAGCAGUAAAAGUACCUGCCCAGGUACUUGUCUCAACCUGUUCAAAUCUUCUUGAUGAAUGCCCGAACUGACAGUACUCCUGCAAUUUCAAGUCUCCGCUCACAAGCUGAAAUAUAUAUUAGUAACAUUGUAAUUUCUUGUCAGCUUUACCUCCAUUUUCACCUGAUUGGUGAGCAUAGAUUUAGGCAUUUGGCUCACACGACGACUCGUCGAAGAAGAUGGAUUCGUUGUCUGUUAAGAGAUCUCGGAUGCAAUUUGCAAACAUACCAAGUAGCAGUCCCUACCAACGGAAGCCUUCCUUUCCUGAUGUUGAAUGCAAACCCUCAAACACCAGCACUGCAUUUGAUGUUGAAUGCAAAUUGCAGCAUUUGGGAUUUUCAGUGCACAAGAUGGGAAUGGUGCUAGACUCGGUGCAAAAUGAUGUUAUUUAUAUAAACAGGGCCAUGAAGGACGCGACACUGGAUUCUAAUAGCAUAAAGAAAAAGGCAGUUGUUCUGGAGAAGUCACUUCAGGAAAUCUGUAAGGGAGAAGAAGAUCUUAAAGAACUAGUAGAGAACUGUACCAAAACCAAUCCUGAUCAGCUGAAUGUUAUGAACUCCCACUCCAGUAAUCUGGAAGAAAUAUCCUUGACUCUUUCAGCAUGGCCAAAAAAAAUACAAGCAGAGUUAAGGUUACUGCAGAGUGACAUCUCCUGUGUUCUUACAGAAGACAUGCAGGGCAUUGUUAGAGCUAUAAGAUCUUCUGAAAGUAGGUCUGCUGCAAUUGAAAUGCCGGACCAGAGCUGCACCAUCAACAAAAGACCCCUGAUGAACCCAAUGUCAAAAGUAAAUGAAAAUCCCCUGGCAAAUCAAGCAACAGAAGUGAAUGGAAGAUCCCUGGUAAGCACAACUCCAAUAGUGAAUGAAAGAUCUCCGUUGAAGCAAACACCAUUAGUGAAUAAAAGACCACCAAUGAACCAAACGCUGGUAGCAACUGAGAGAUCUCAGGUGAGUAAAACAUCUGUAGUGAACCAAAGACCACUGGUGAAUCAAAAACCCUUAGCAAAUGGAAGAUCACCGAUGAACCAAAAGCCAGUACCUAAUGGAAGAUCCCAGAGGAAACAGAAUCCUGUAGCAAGUGGACAGCUCACACUCUCUCGAAGAACAUAUAGGAAGCCUCAGAAGAGCCAAAUACCAGCAACAAAAGUCGUUCCUACACAUUCAGUUUGUCCUGGAACGGAGGGAAAUUUGAAUAUGGACGUAGAACAAGGAAAGGAACCAGUCUGUAAGAUCCUCAACUCGGAUUAUGACAGUGAACAGUGUGUUUCCAGCAUGAUUCUGAAUACUGAAAGAGGUGGUUAUCAACAGCAGAACUUUACCUUGUGUUUCUUUAUUUUUUUUCUGCCAACGUGGAGUCCCCCUCGAUAAAAGAAACUGCUGAAGAAAGCUUGCAGAUACUGAAGAGGGCCAGGAAGAGAACAGCAGAAAAGAAGUCCAUUGUUCCAGUCAAAGGUGCAGUCUCUGAAACUGCAAGAGCAUCUGACGAAACUGGAAGCCGUUUGUCGAAGAGGAAUUCUGGUCGAGAUCGUCGUCCUUCCGUCUGGUUCCACGGCCCUGAUUGGUAUCGGUGAUGAGUGGGAUAGUUGCCUGGUGUAGUCUGCAAUGAAAUUUCCCAUUUUAUGUUGUUUGUCCGGUUAUUCAACAGUCCAAGUUUACCGUGCCCUGUUUGGAGCUUUGGAUAGGGGUAUGCUACUGCUACAGUACCCUUCGAGGGAGGAAAACUCUUGUCAGCAGCUCCCUUUCUCGGAAGGUGAUGCACCUUUCGUGUCACAAGUUGCUCAUGCAAAAUUUAAAAAAAAAAUAAUAUGUGAAAGAACAGCAUAGAAUUGUUCUGCCUUGAUUUAAAUAUUUCGUUAUUGGCACCGAUAUUAAAUUUGUAAUUAGUUGGAGAAGCUGAAAUAUGGUGAUUGGACUUGUAUUCCUUUUGA